UGGCGGCACUAGCGCGGUGGUCCCACCUGACCCCAUACCGAACUCAGAAGUGAAACGCCGUAGCGCCGAUGGUAGUGUGGGGUCUCCCCAUGUGAGAGUAGGGAACUGCCAGGCA
rnacentral:rRNA from 2 species